rnacentral:piRNA from 1 species
UUGUGGAAUAGCUAGAUGUCUUUGCUGCC